rnacentral:misc_RNA from 1 species
CGGUACUUAAGGAGGUACCAUGAGGUACCAAAAAUUUAGUGAAAAAUUUGGUACCUCAUGGUACCUCAUAGUAACUAGGUAUUAAGAAGUACCAAAUUUACAAUAGAAAAAGUGGUACCUCAUGGUACCUCCUCAACGAC